rnacentral:rRNA from 1 species
CGAAAUGCGAUAAGUAGUGUGAAUUGCAGAAUUCCGUGAAUCAUCGAAUCUUUGAACGCACAUUGCGCCCCGUGGUAAUCCGUGGGGCAUGCCUGUUCGAGCGUCACUAAAAUCAACUCAACCACUCUUGUGCUUGGUCAUGGAGGAAGAGUCCACCUUCUUGAGGUCUCCCCUCCCAAAAUCAACGGCGGAAAGUUGCUGGCACUCGGCGUAGUAGUAUCGUUCGCCGACCGUCCAGUGUCCUUCCUGCCGGCAAAUCCCCACAAUUCUCUUGAUUGACCUCGGAUCAGGUAGGGAUACCCGCUGAACUUAAGCAUAUCAAUAAGCGGAGGAAAAGAAACCAACAGGGAUUGCCUUAGUAACUGCGAGUGAAGCGGCAAAAGCUCAAAUUUGAAAUCUGCGCCUACCCAAGGCGUCGAGUUGUAAUUUGGAGGGACAACUUCGGAAUGAACCACAUCGUAAGUUCCUUGGAACAGGACGUCAUAGAGGGUGAGAAUCCCGUGCCUUGAUGUCGGGUCAAACCAUGUGAAGUGUCUCCGACGAGUC